rnacentral:lncRNA from 1 species
CGAGUGAUUCGUGAUGUGUUGGAAUGAAUUUCGGAGAUAAAUAAGUGUUUCGGCGCAAAUUGGACGCGAAACGAAAUGUAAAAAGAAUUUUCGGAUUUCCGACGCUAACUUUGAUUAAAAGAAUUAAAGUAAGGCGUAAGGAUAAAUUGUGGAAUCUCCGAAUCAAUUGUGAAGUUUCGGAAAAGCCAAGGGUGUGUUUUCAAAGGGUUUUGAAGUGUUCAUUGCGAAGUGGUAGUGCAAAAAGGAGAAAUUUCUGCCGUGUAAUGAAAUUGGAGCCGAUU